GACGAGCUUGAAAGCAAUACGGCUGCAAUUGUAAGCCAAGUUUAAUAAAUAUUUAAAUUGUGCUGAAAAUUAAAUAAAAUCAAAUCCCAGACGAAUUAUCGGGAUUCAUUUAAUAAGUGUUUAGUUAUUUUAUGCCAGUGCCACGUGCCAGUGCGGCUAGUACCAAAUUAUCACCCUAUUAUGCAACCGGCUAUCUGGAGGCCGAAAUGGAUGAAAUAUGGGAAUUAACUAGUGCAGAGAUUCGACGCGGGAUCGCAAUCUUUUGAUAAAUAUUUUUGGAUUCGACGACAAGCCCCCUUUUCGCUACACGGAGAGAAAACUCCAGCGAAUUAUUGAUAAAUUUGUAA